rnacentral:miRNA from 1 species
GAUUAGACCCAGCUCCCUGACCCCAAACCCUGCAGCCCCAGCUGGAGGGUGAGGAGAUGCUGGGCUUGGGUGGGGGAAUCAGGGGUGUAAAGGAGUCUGCU